rnacentral:lncRNA from 1 species
CAAACAGAGUCGUUGCCAACUUGCACCAGUCCAACAGCAGCACAUGGGCAAAUUUCAAAUUUCACUCUCAGGAGGCAAAUUUGUCCUCUCCAGAAAGGCCACACUGCAAUCAAGGGCACUGCCCUUUCCUCACAGACCCCUUGCAGACCUGUCAGCUUUGGUACCAGCUGCUGGGAUUUGAGUUUAUUGUUCUAAAGGCAAUAACCAGGGAAGAGGGAGAUGAGCUUUGCCUUUGUUUAUUUUUUUCUGAUUUUAUUCUGAUUUUCCCCUCAGUUUCUCAUGACACUUGGGCUGGCAGAGCGAGGAGCAGCUGGGGAGAGGCUGAGCAUCAUGUGUGGCAGCUGUUCCUGCUGCUGAGGUGGCUGCAAGGCUGGCUCAGGAGCCAGGCACAGAUGCUGCUGGACUUCACCAGAUCUGAGAGAGAAGUUGUGCGGGAGAGGGCUGUGGGGAGGAUUGGUGUCCUGACCAGUUUGCUGUCUGGCUAUUCCACUCUGAAGACAAGUCAAGGCCAAGGGAUGGGCCAGACCAAUUUGCUUGGGAAGCUGUGACCACCUCCUCGCUGUGUUACCUGAGCAUCAGAGACUGUACCCAGGCCUUUGGAAAAUACCUCCACUCUAGAGAGAGGACAGAUGUCAUCCUGGAGGCCAUUCAGGCCAUGAGAGAUGCCAGCAUCCUUGACAAGCAGGUGCCCAGCAGCAUGCUGGAUGUGGCCAUGGAAGACCCAAAAUUCUGGCUGACAGAUGUAAGUGCCCUGAGGCUGGAUUGCCCAGAUCUUCAGCCCUGUCAGGCCUUGUUCCUCCCUCCGUCUUUUCCUCACAAAUCCAGGUGACUUGAGCACCUGAAGCCAUCCGAAGGUGGCAGAGAGGAAUGGGAAGGGCAGCUGAGGACAUGGCUGCACUCCAGUGGCAGUGCCAUCCUCAGCUGUAAACUCUCCAGGUGCCCAAGAUAGUGAGCUGCAUUCUUGAAAACCUGCUAUGCAUCACCACAGAGUCAGGCUGUAGGAAAGUGGAGUCACUGUUUCUCCUGAUGACCAACGAGAACCGCUCGGCAGUGGUCAUCAGCCUGUGUGAGAUGACUCUGCAAGGAGACAGGUACUGGCCCUGA